CCUACGGGUGGCAGCAGUGGGGAAUAUUGCACAAUGGGGGCAACCCUGAUGCAGCGACGCCGCGUGAAGGAUGAAGUCUUUCGGUAUGUUAACUUCUAUCUGCAAGGGAGUAAAUGACGGUACCUGACUCUGAAGCCACGGCUAACUACAUGCCAGCAGCCGCGGUAAUACGGAGGGGGCCAGCGUUAUCCGGAUUUACUGGGUGUAAAGGGAGCGUAGGCGGUUUAGCAAGUCAGUAGCGAAAGCCCGGGGCUCAACUCCGAGACUGGAUUUGAAACUGUUGAACUUGAGUACAGGUGAGGUAAGUGGAAUUCGUGGUGUAGCGGUGAAAUGCUUAGAUAUUAGGAGGAACACCAAUGGCGAAGGCAGCUUACUAGACUGUAAAUGACGCUGAUGCUCGAAAGCGUGGGGAGCAAACAGGAUUAGAUACCCUAGUAGUC
rnacentral:rRNA from 1 species